rnacentral:rRNA from 1 species
UGGGGAAUUUUGGACAAUGGGCGCAAGCCUGAUCCAGCCAUGCCGCGUGAGUGAAGAAGGCCUUCGGGUUGUAAAGCUCUUUCGGACGGGAAGAAAUGGCGGGCUCUAACAUAGCCUGUCGAUGACGGUACCAGAGGAAUAAGCACCGGCUAACUCCGUGCCAGCAGCCGCGGUAAUACGGAGGGUGCAAGCGUUACUCGGAAUUACUGGGCGUAAAGCGUGCGUAGGUGGUUGUUUAAGCCUGAUGUGAAAGCCCUGGGCUCAACCUGGGAAUGGCAUUGGAAACUGGGCAGCUAGAGUGCGGUAGAGGGUAGUGGAAUUCCCGGUGUAGCAGUGAAAUGCGUAGAGAUCGGGAGGAACAUCGGUGGCGAAGGCGACUGCCUGGACCAGCACUGACACUGAGGCACGAAAGCGUGGGGAGCAAACA